GCUUGGGACUAGGAUGUUUCUGUGAGCACUCAACCCUUCUUAUCUUAUAUAUAGUCAUCGUUUCAACAGCACAACAUAAGAACAAUGAAGUUGAGAAUAAAAAGGGGAACUUGUCAAAGUUUAUAUAUUAGUUAACUACAGAAAAUUAAAAACAAAUCAAACUUGUUCGUCUAAUGCCAUUUCUUGAUUCUUGAUAAGUAUAACUAAGUGUACUAACAUUCCAGGAAGGUUUAAACCAAAUUUUGACAAAUAAAUAGAGAUUCUACCACUGCAUCGAGUGCAAUACGAUAUUUAUCCACUCG
rnacentral:lncRNA from 1 species